rnacentral:rRNA from 1 species
GACGAACGCUGGCGGCGUGCUUAACACAUGCAAGUCGAACGCAGUGGCGAACGGGUGAGUAACGCGUAAUCAACCUGCCCUUCAGAGGGGGACAACAGUUGGAAACGUCUGCUAAUACCGCAUACUGAAGGAGGGGAUUGCGUCUGAUUAGCUAGUUGGAGGGGUAACGGCCCACCAAGGCGAUGAUCAGUAGCCGGUCUGAGAGGGUGAACGGCCACAUUGGGACUGAGACACGGCCCAGACUCCUACGGGAGGCAGCAGUGGGGAAUAUUGCACAAUGGGCGCAAGCCUGAUGCAGCCAUGCCGCGUGUGUGAAGAAGGCCUUCGGGUUGUAAAGCACUUUAAGUUGGGAGGCGUUACCAACAGAAUAAGCACCGGCUAACUUCGUGCCAGCAGCCGCGGUAAUAC